rnacentral:rRNA from 1 species
CAGAGGGUGCGAGCGUUGUCCGGAAUUACUGGGCGUAAAGGGCGCGUAGGCGGCUUGGUAAGUCGGGGGUGAAAGUCAGCGGCUCAACCGCUGGACUGCCUUCGAGACUGCCUGGCUUGAGCAUGGUAGAGGCUGGCGGAAUUCCCGGUGUAGCGGUGGGAUGCGUAGAGAUCGGGAAGAACAUCGGUGGCGAAGGCGGCCAGCUGGGCCAUUGCUGACGCUGAGGCGCGACAGCGUGGGGAGCAAACAGG